GGCCUAUCAGCUUGUUGGUGGGGUAACGGCCCACCAAGGCGACGACGGGUAGCCGGCCUGAGAGGACGGCCCCCCACAUUGGGACUGAGAUACGGCCCAGACUCCUACGGGAGGCAGCAGUGGGGAAUUUUGGACAAUGGGGGCAACCCUGAUCCAGCCAUGCCGCGUGUGUGAAGAAGGCCUUCGGGUUGUAAAGCACUUUCGGACGGAACGAAAUCGCGCGGGCGAAUACCCCGCGUGGAUGACGGUACCGUAAGAAGAAGCACCGGCUAACUACGUGCCAGCAGCCGCGGUAAUACGUAGGGUGCGAGCGUUAAUCGGAAUUACUGGGCGUAAAGUGUGCGCAGGCGGCGUCGCAAGUCGAGUGUGAAAGCCCCGGGCUUAACUUGGGAAUUGCGCUCGAAACUACGGUGCUGGAGUGUGGCAGAGGAAGGUGGAAUUCCACGUGUAGCGGUGAAAUGCGUAGAGAUGUGGAGGAACACCGAUGGCGAAGCUAGCCUUCUGG
rnacentral:rRNA from 1 species